rnacentral:rRNA from 1 species
GACGAACGCUGGCGGCGUGCUUAACACAUGCAAGUCGGACGGAAAGGCCCUGCUUUUGUGGGGUGCUCGAGUGGCGAACGGGUGAGUAACACGUGAGUAACCUGCCCUUGACUUUGGGAUAACUUCAGGAAACUGGGGCUAAUACCGGAUAGGAGCUCCUGCUGCAUGGUGGGGGUUGGAAAGUUUCGGCGGUUGGGGAUGGACUCGCGGCUUAUCAGCUUGUUGGUGGGGUAGUGGCUUACCAAGGCUUUGACGGGUAGCCGGCCUGAGAGGGUGACCGGCCACAUUGGGACUGAGAGACGGCCCAGACUCCUACGGGAGGCAGCAGUGGGGAAUAUUGCACAAUGGGCGGAAGCCUGAUGCAGCAACGCCGCGUGCGGGAUGACGGCCUUCGGGUUGUAAACCGCUUUCGCCUGUGACGAAGCGUGAGUGACGGUAAUGGGUAAAGAAGCACCGGCUAACUACGUG